rnacentral:lncRNA from 1 species
CUUCCCAUGGGUAGGUGGAUUCAGUAACAAAUAAGAUGCAAAGUUCCAGAAGAAUCUGCAUGAAGAAAAUUGCACAUGAUUAUUCCAAGUAUUGCAACUGCCUGUUCCUCUCUCUGUUUGAAGCACUUGAAAGCUGCCAAUAUGAUGGUCUGAAUUCCCUAACUUGCCAGUGUUUCCUAAGAACAAAAGAAUUCUCCUUUAUAAUACUAAUAUACUCAAUAAAGUAAGCAAAUUCAUAUUAAUGCAUCACUCAUCUAACCUCCAU